CCUGCGCUGACCAAAGUGCACUCAUCAGUAAAUGCCAAGCCGUAAACUCCACCCAAGUUGGCUCCUUUUAUGGUUAUGCGGCUUGAAGCAGGCUUCCCAACUUCAUAAAUAAUGACACAGGUAUCUAGUGAUCCAGUAGCCACCAAAGAGCUAUUAGGAGACCAUGCGAGGCAGUUUAUACGAGCAGUGUGGUACAGCAUGUUAUUAAGCUUAACCUCCUUGGAGGCACGGUCCCAAACAACAGCUUCACGAUUUAUAUCAGCAGAGGCAAACAUGGAGACAUCUGGCGAAUAUCGUAUUACACUGAUUGCACCUCUAUGCUUCUCAAGGACUGCUUCUUCAGUAAGAUUAUCA
rnacentral:misc_RNA from 1 species